UUGACACUAAAAUGGUGCAUAUUUAUUCUCAGAUUCACUGAAUUGGUGAAGAAAUCCAAUUUUAGGGUUACUUUGUGUCUUUUUCUUUUCUAUCUAUAUUUUACAACGGUCACCCAAACAAAUGUGUCCAGAACUAUCGACCAUCGAGUAGAGCGCAUCGUGGUAGGCUCCCCUUAUAGUCGCACACAAUUGCCCGGGGUGAGAACGUUGGGGAAGUCCUUGUCAACGGCGGUGCCGAUGAUAGUGGUGACCUAACGGUGUCGUCGUAGGAACUGGAGUUGCCGGUGGAGCAUACGACGGAGACGCCAUAGAUAACGACGUGGAGGGAGCCGAGCGUGACGGGCUCCUGGAAGAGGAUUUAGUGUCGUCCACGAGGGGCACGUCUUGGCCGAGAGAGACGGAGAUGACGUCGACGCCGUCCGUCAUGGAUGGCAGCUAGCAGCCAACCUUGUAGGCGACGACGCAUGCCCACAGCAUGCCGCCCUUGGCAAAGCUGCCGACGGCGAUGGAGAGCAUGUGGGUGCCGCGUGGUCCUUGGUGUUGCGCAUCCAGUUGCCGUCCAUCACAUCCGAGUUGCUGAGCAGAGUAAUUUUCAGAGGAACGUACUGGAUGAGGCAGUGGACAAUACUACUAAAGGGAGAAGAUGAACCACAAGUAAAACUGGGACGUCGUCUACUUAAAACGACCAUGAUGCAGUUUUUCGCUUCCAAUGGAUAGAACUUUUUCAGUAGGCUAGACUGUGUUUUGUCUUCGCCUUAGAUUUUCAGUUGUUUAUGCUGUUGAGAGAACCUUUCUUAAUCUUUGUAUGUUGGACAUCUUCAUGCAUAUUUACAUGCAGCUGCCUUUCCUAAAAAAAUAUAUGCAUGCGCCCAAAGUUUUAACUGUA